UGGGGAAUAUUGCACAAUGGGCGAAAGCCUGAUGCAGCAACGCCGCGUGAGUGAUGAAGGCCUUCGGGUCGUAAAGCUCUGUCUUCGGGGACGAUAAUGACGGUACCCGAGGAGGAAGCCACGGCUAACUACGUGCCAGCAGCCGCGGUAAUACGUAGGUGGCAAGCGUUGUCCGGAUUUACUGGGCGUAAAGGGAGCGUAGGCGGAUACUUAAGUGGGAUGUGAAAUACCCGGGCUCGACCCGGGUGCUGCAUUCCAAACUGGGUAUCUAGAGUGUGGGAGAGGAAAGUGGAAUUCCUAGUGUAGCGGUGAAAUGCGUAGAGAUUAGGAAGAACACCAGUGGCGAAGGCGACUUUCUGGACCAUAACUGACGCUGAGGCUCGAAAGCGUGGGGAGCAAACAGG
rnacentral:rRNA from 2 species